UGGGGAAUAUUGCACAAUGGGCGGAAGCCUGAUGCAGCGACGCCGCGUGGGGGAUGAAGGCCUUCGGGUUGUAAACUCCUUUCGACAGGGACGAAGCUUUUGUGACGGUACCUGUAUAAGAAGCACCGGCUAACUACGUGCCAGCAGCCGCGGUAAUACGUAGGGUGCGAGCGUUGUCCGGAAUUACUGGGCGUAAAGAGCUCGUAGGUGGUUUGUCGCGUCGUCUGUGAAAUUCCGGGGCUUAACUCCGGGCGUGCAGGCGAUACGGGCUGACUUGAGUGCUGUAGGGGAGACUGGAAUUCCUGGUGUAGCGGUGAAAUGCGCAGAUAUCAGGAGGAACACCGAAGGCGAAGGCAGGUCUCUGGGCAGUAACUGACGCUGAGGAGCGAAAGCAUGGGUAGCGAACAGG
rnacentral:rRNA from 1 species